rnacentral:rRNA from 1 species
AUAGCUGGUUUCUCAAUAAAAGAAUUUUAGUCCAACCUAAAGCAAUAAAUAUAUACACAAAUUNGACCCUUCGCUUUAGAGCAAUUCAAAUAAGGUACAGCCUAUUUGAUACAGGACCCAACCUUAAUUAAUGGGUAAUUCUCGAUUCAUAUCUAUAAGUAGGCCUAAGAGCAGCCAUCUUUUUAAAAGCGUCAUAGCUUAACCAUGUNUAUCCUAAUUUCUUUANUCCUACGUGACCCCUUUAAUUAUACUGAGAACUUCUAUAAAAUUAUAGAACUUUUUAUGCUAAAACUAGUAACAAGAGGUAACCCCUCUCUAUAAUGCAAAUAUAACCCAGCAAGAACCCACCACUGGCAACUAACAGACCUGAACAAAAGUAGCAACCCAUCUAGAAAACCCUACCCUUAUAACNUGUUAACCUAAUACUAGAGCAUUUCAAGAAAGAUUAAAAGAAAAAGAAGGAAUUCGGCAAAUNAUUAGCCCCGCCUGUUUACCAAAAACAUCGCCUCUUGCCACCNNNAUAAGAGGUCUAGCCUGCCCAGUGACUUCUGUUCAACGGCCGCGGUAUCCUAACCGUGCGAAGGUAGCGUAAUCACUUGUUUCCUAAAUAGAGACCAGUAUGAAAGGCAUCACGAGGACUAAACUGUCUCCUUUCUCUAAUCAGUGAACCUAAUCUCCCCGUGAAGAAGCGGGGAUUUUUAUAUAAGACGAGAAGACCCUAUGGAGCUUAAAACAUCACANCACCUGUCCCCCCUUUUUUUCAUACUCAGGUAUUUUCCCCCGUGNACACGCUGAUUUUAUGUUUUUGGUUGGGGUGACCGCGGAGAAAAAUUUAUCCUCCGCAAUGAAAGGNNAAUUUUCCCUGAACAGUAAGCUACAACUUUAUGUACCAGUAAACUGACAUCCAUUGACCCAAUAUAUUGAUUAACGAACCAAGUUACCCUAGGGAUAACAGCGCAAUCCACUUUGAGAGCCCCUAUCGACAAGUGGGCUUACGACCUCGAUGUUGGAUCGGGGUAUCCUAGUGGUGCAGCCGCUANCUAAAGGUUCGUUUGUUCAACGAUUAAAACCCCACGUGAUCUGAGUUCAGACCGGAGCAAUCCAGGUCAGUUUCUAUCUAUAAAAGAGCUUUUUUUAGUACGAAAGGACCAAAAUAGCAUGGCCAAUGUCCAUANCAAGCCAUAGUUAAUUAUUUUUGAAUUUCAUCUCAAAAAAUUAUCAACCUAACACUUAUC